GAAGGCAGAGGCUUUAACCACUGAGCCACCCAGGCGCCCCGGUUGGAAAUGUUUCAAAGAAAAUAAUUUUGAUUGUAAAAUUUAGGAUACUGAACAGCUCAGUCCUGGACUAAAAAUUGGCCCUCUAUGGGUCUCCCCCCUUGCAAAAAGGUAUGGCAGUCCUCAAUACAACCUACCAGUAGAAGAAAAUGUAUGUCACUAGUUUGCUAUACACACCCAUCUAAAGGAUCCUUUCCUGCCAUCUAGGAUUUGUCCUUCCUACAUUAAUCAACCUUCAAGCCUGGAAACCUGUUUUUCUCAUCAAUGGGGAAACUAUUUAUGACUAAGCGUUGCUGAAAUAAGAACUUUUCGUAUUUCCACUGUUAGUUCUUACCUGAAAUAAAAGAGAAAAAAAA